rnacentral:rRNA from 1 species
GUUCGAGCGUCAUUAUCACCCCUCAAGCCCCGGCUUGGUGUUGGGCCCGCGGUGGUCGUUCGCGACCACCCGCCCCAAAGAUAGUGACGGCGCCCCAGAGGGAACCGGUACGAGGAGCUUUCACGAGCAUGUACGCGGGACGACUCUGCGGGCGACGGUCUUUUAUUUAACUUUAUAAGUGUUGACCUCGGAUCAGGUAGGAAUACCCGCUGAACUUAAGCAUAUCAAUAAGCGGAGGAAAAGAAACCAACAGGGAUUGCCUUAGUAACGGCGAGUGAAGCGGCAACAGCUCAAAUUUGAAAUCUGGCUUCUCGGAGCCCGAGUUGUAAUUUGUAGAGGAUGUUUCGGGUACCGCAACGACUUAAAUUUCUUGGAACAGAAUGUCAGAGAGGGUGAGAGUCCCGUCUGGAGUCGCGGUAGGGCCCAUGUGAAACUCCCUCGACGAGUCGAGUUGUUUGGGAAUGCAGCUCAAAAUGGGUGGUAAAUUUCAUCUAAAGCUAAAUAUUGGCCAGAGACCGAUAGCGCACAAGUAGAGUGAUCGAAAGAUGAAAAGCACUUUGAAAAGAGAGUUAAACAGUAUGUGAAAUUGUUGAAAGGGAAGCGCUGGCAACCAGACUUGCGUGCGGGGGUUCCCCCUGGCUUCUGCCUGGGCUACUCCCCCGUAUCCAGGCCAACAUCGGUUUGGGUGGUCGGUUAAAGGCCUUGGGAAUGUAUCUUCCCCCGGGAAGACUUAUAGCCCUCGGUGUCAUGCGGCCUACCCGGACCGAGGAACGCGCUUCGGCUCGGAUGUUGGCGUAAUGGUUGUCAGCGACCCGUCUUGAAACANGGACCAAUGUGAUGCCUAAGAAAC